GGGCGUUAAGUUGCAGGGUAUAGACCCGAAACCCGGUGAUCUAGCCAUGGGCAGGUUGAAGGUUGGGUAACACUAACUGGAGGACCGAACCGACUAAUGUUGAAAAAUUAGCGGAUGACCUGUGGCUGGGGGUGAAAGGCCAAUCAAACCGGGAGAUAGCUGGUUCUCCCCGAAAGCUAUUUAGGUAGCGCCUCGUGAAUUCAUCUCCGGGGGUAGAGCACUGUUUCGGCUAGGGGGCCAUCCCGGCUUACCAACCCGAUGCAAACUGCGAAUACCGGAGAAUGUUAUCACGGGAGACACACGGCGGGUGCUAACGUCCGUCGUGAAGAGGGAAACAACCCAGACCGCCAGCUAAGGUCCCAAAGUCAUGGUUAAGUGGGAAACGAUGUGGGAAGGCCCAGACAGCCAGGAUGUUGGCUUAGAAGCAGCCAUCAUUUAAAGAAAGCGUAAUAGCUCACUGGUCGAGUCGGCCUGCGCGGAAGAUGUAACGGGGCUAAACCAUGCACCGAAGCUGCGGCAGCGAACGUAUCACUUAAAGCGAUUCAGCGGGUUACGAUUGACGGAGCGAAGCGACGUCAAAGCGUAUACAAAGUCGAGUCGGUUUAAGGAUACGUUCGUUGGGUAGGGGAGCGUUCUGUAAGCCCGUGAAGGUGGCCUGUGAGGGUUGCUGGAGGUAUCAGAAGUGCGAAUGCUGACAUAAGUAACGAUAAAGCGGGUGAAAAGCCCGCUCGCCGGAAGACCAAGGGUUCCUGUCCAACGUUAAUCGGGGCAGGGUGAGUCGACCCCUAAGGCGAGGCCGAAAGGCGUAGUCGAUGGGAAACGGGUUAAUAUUCCCGUACUUGGUGUUACUGCGAAGGGGGGACGGAGAAGGCUAUGUUGGCCGGGCGACGGUUGUCCCGGUUUAAGCGUGUAGGUGUGUGUUCCAGGUAAAUCCGGUUCACUUUAACACUGAGGCGUGACGACGAGGCACUACGGUGCUGAAGCAACAAAUGCCCUGCUUCCAGGAAAAGCCUCUAAGCAUCAGGUAACACGAAAUCGUACCCCAAACCGACACAGGUGGUCAGGUAGAGAAUACCAAGGCGCUUGAGAGAACUCGGGUGAAGGAACUAGGCAAAAUGGUGCCGUAACUUCGGGAGAAGGCACGCUGACACGUAGGUGAAGUGAUUUACUCAUGGAGCUGAAGUCAGUCGAAGAUACCAGCUGGCUGCAACUGUUUAUUAAAAACACAGCACUGUGCAAACACGAAAGUGGACGUAUACGGUGUGACGCCUGCCCGGUGCCGGAAGGUUAAUUGAUGGGGUCAGCGCAAGCGAAGCUCCUGAUCGAAGCCCCGGUAAACGGCGGCCGUAACUAUAACGGUCCUAAGGUAGCGAAAUUCCUUGUC
rnacentral:rRNA from 1 species